ACCCGCACAAGCGGUGGAUGAUGUGGUUUAAUUCGAUGCAACGCGAAAAACCUUACCCACCUUUGACAUGUACGGAACCCUUUAGAGAUAGAGGGGUGCUCGAAAGAGAGCCGUAACACAGGUGCUGCAUGGCUGUCGUCAGCUCGUGUCGUGAGAUGUUGGGUUAAGUCCCGCAACGAGCGCGACCCUUGUCAUUAGUUGCUACAUUCAGUUGGGCACUCUAAUGAGACUGCCGGUGACAAGCCGGAGGAAGGUGGGGAUGACGUCAAGUCCUCAUGGCCCUUAUAGGUGGGGCUACACACGUCAUACAAUGGCUGGUACAAAGGGUUGCCAACCCGCGAGGGGGAGCCAAUCCCAUAAAGCCAGUCGUAGUCCGGAUCGUAGUCUGCAACUCGACUACGUGAAGUCGGAAUCGCUAGUAAUCGUGGAUCAGAAUGUCACGGUGAAUACGUUCCCGGGUCUU
rnacentral:rRNA from 1 species